rnacentral:rRNA from 1 species
GAUGAACGCUGGCGGCGUGCCUAAUACAUGCAAGUAGAACGCUGAAGCUUGGUGCUUGCACCGAGCGGAUGAGUUGCGAACGGGUGAGUAACGCGUAGGUAACCUGCCUGGUAGCGGGGGAUAACUAUUGGAAACGAUAGCUAAUACCGCAUAACAGUAGAUAUUGCAGGAUAUCUGCGUGAAAGGUGCAAAUGCAUCACUACCAGAUGGACCUUCGUUGGAUUAGCUAGUUGGUGAGGUAACGGCCCACCAAGGCGGCGAUACAUAGCCGACCUGAGGAGGUGAUCCGCCCACCUUGGACUGGGGACCCGCCCCGGCUUCCUCGGGGAGCAGCAGUAGGGGAUCUUUGGCCAUGGGGGGAACCCUGACCGCACAACGCCGCGGGGGUGGAGGAGGUUUUCGGGUCGUAAAGCUCCGUUGUGAGGGGAGAAAGAGCGUGAGAGUAGAACGUUCACACUGUGACGGUAUCUUACCAGAAAGGGACGGCUAACUACGUG